GAGUCUCGCUCUCUCUCCCAGGCUGGAGUGCAGUGGCACGACCUUGGCUCGCUGCAGUGUCUACCUCCCAGGUUCAAGCGAUUCUCCUGCCUCAGCCUCCCGAGUAGCUGGGAUUACAGAUUAUCGAAUAAUAAAAUACAGUUUUGAAAAAAUGGAUGAAGAACCUGAAAGAACUAAGCGAUGGGAAGGAGGCUAUGAAAGAACAUGGGAGAUUCUUAAAGAAGAUGAAUCUGGAUCACUUAAAGCUACAAUAGAAGACAUUCUAUUCAAGGCAAAGAGAAAAAGAGUAUUUGAGCACCAUGGACAAGUUCGACUUGGAAUGAUGCGCCACCUUUAUGUGGUAGUAGAUGGAUCAAGAACAAUGGAAGACCAAGAUUUAAAGCCUAAUAGACUGACGUGUACUUUAAAGGUAAAAUUUAAUUUAUACUAAAUCAUUUAAAUUUGUAUCAAAAUCACUUAAACUUUUACUAAAAAAGUGGGGAAGAACACUGGAUUCUAAAGGAUAUUUUUAAAGAAUGCAAUAUUUUUUAUUUUUUGCCUCGUAUUUUUAGUUAAUGCUAAUGAUAGCUA
rnacentral:sRNA from 1 species